UGUGUUUAAAAGGGGCUUCGGCCUCACUUAGAGAUGGAUCCGCGGUGCAUUAGUUAGUUGGUGAGGUAAAGGCUUACCAAGACGAUGAUGCAUAGCCGAGUUGAGAGACUGAUCGGCCACAUUGGGACUGAGACACGGCCCAAACUCCUACGGGAGGCUGCAGUAGGGAAUCUUCCACAAUGGGCGCAAGCCUGAUGGAGCAACGCCGCGUGUGUGAUGAAGGCUUUCGGGUCGUAAAGCACUGUUGUAUGGGAAGAAUAGUUAAUGUAGGAAAUGAUGUUAAUGUGACGGUACCAUACCAGAAAGGGACGGCUAAAUACGUGCCAGCAGCCGCGGUAAUACGUAUGUCCCGAGCGUUAUCCGGAUUUAUUGGGCGUAAAGCGAGCGCAGACGGUUCGUUAAGUCUGAAGUGAAAGCCCACAGCUCAACUGUGGAAUGGCUUUGGAAACUGGCGAACUUGAGUGCAGUAGAGGCAAGUGGAACUCCAUGUGUAGCGGUGGAAUGCGUAGAUAUAUGGAAGAACACCAGUGGCGAAAGCGGCUUGCUGGACUGUAACUGACGUUGAGGCUCGAAAGUGUGGGUAG
rnacentral:rRNA from 1 species